rnacentral:rRNA from 1 species
CCUACGGGUGGCUGCAGUGAGGAAUAUUGGUCAAUGGGCGAGAGCCUGAACCAGCCAAGUCGCGUGAGGGAGUACUGCCCUAUGGGUUGUAAACCUCUUUUGUCGGGGAGCAAAAGCCGGACGUGGCCGGCUGUGAGAGUACCCGAAGAAAAAGCAUCGGCUAACUCCGUGCCAGCAGCCGCGGUAAUACGGAGGAUGCGAGCGUUAUCAGGAUGUAUUGGGUGUAAAGGGUGCGCAGGCGGAUUUUUAAGUCAGCGGUCAAAUCGUGGGGGGGAACCCCAUCCAGCCGUGGAAUCUGGGGAUCUAGAGUGUGCGAGAGGGAUGCGGAGGGGGUGGUGUAGCGGUGAAAUGCAGAGAUAUCACGCAGGAGGCCGAGUGCGAAGGCAGCAUACCGGUGCACAGCUGACGCGCAGGCAGGAAAGCGGGGGUAUCGAACAGGAUUAGAUACCCCGGUAGUC